rnacentral:rRNA from 1 species
CACGUAGGAGGCGAGCGUUGUCCGGAAUCAUUGGGCGUAAAGAGCGCGCAGGCGGCCCGGCAAGUCGGGUGUGAAAUCCCGGGGCUCAACCCCGGGACUGCGUCCGAUACUUCCGAGCUGGAGGUAGGUAGGGGAGAUCGGAAUUCCUGGUGUAGCGGUGAAAUGCGCAGAUAUCAGGAGGAACACCGGUGGCGAAGGCGGAUCUCUGGGCCUUACCUGACGCUGAGGCGCGAAAGCUAGGGGAGCGAACAGG